AAUGAACGUUGGCGGCGUGGAUUAGGCAUGCAAGUCGAACGCGUGUAGCAAUACACGAGUGGCGAAAGGGACAGUAAUACGUAGAUACGUACCCUCCGGCCUGGGAUAGUCCGUCGAAAGACGGGGUAAUACCAGAUAACGUCUCCGGACCAAAGGUGUGAUUCCACCGGUGGAGCGGUCUGCGUCCUAUUAGCUUGUUGGUGGGGUAACGGCCUACCAAGGCAAUGAUGGGUAGCGGGUGUGAGAGCACGACCCGCGUCACUGGGACUGAGACACUGCCCAGACACCUACGGGAGGCAGCAGUGGGGAAUUUUGGACGAUGGGCGAAAGCCUGAUCCAGCAAUGCCGCGUGCAGGAUGAAGGCCUUCGGGUUGUGAACUGCUUUUGUACGGAACGAAAAGCCCCGGGUUAAUACCCUGGGGUCAUGACGGUACCGUAAGAAUAAGCACCGGCUAACUACGUGCCAGCAGCCGCCGUAA
rnacentral:rRNA from 1 species